UUGCCAUAUAUUACGUAAACAAAUCAAAUAGUUUUCAAGUGGCAUGGAGUCAAAAUCAAAAUAAUCACACAAUCUGUGAAAUUUCUCCAAGUGUAGGAACGCCAUUCAACAGUCUGCGCUUAUACUAUGAAGUGCCAUUGGGAAAACCGAAGAUGGGGAGUGAACUCUGCCAUUAACUGAUUGAAUUUGGUCACAAUUAACUUGCUGCCAGACAUUUGGGCAAGCAGACUGAUUUCCAUUGUUUGUGAAAAACUUCUGAGGGGGAAAGGGAAUAGAGCCAAUUAUGUUGCGGAAAAAGUAGAAGUUUAUAAUAACAAUUGUUCUCCUUCGUAGUUUUCUCAUUAAAAAAGUGUUUUCUCCGGACUCUCUUGAAAACUGACAAUCGAUUAGAGGGUUUUUUAAAAA
rnacentral:sRNA from 1 species